AACGCACAUUGCGCCCCGUGGUAUUCCGCGGGGCAUGCCUGUUCGAGCGUCAUUUCAACCCAUCAAGCUUCUGCUUGGUCUUGGGGCCUGCGGUUCCGCAGCCUCUAAACUCAGUGGCGGUGCUAUUGAGCUCUGAGCGUAGUAAUUCUUCUCGCUAUAGGGUCUCCGUGGUUACUUGCCAGCAACCCCCAAUUUUUAUCAGGUUGACCUCGGAUCAGGUAGGGAUACCCGCUGAACUUAA
rnacentral:misc_RNA from 1 species